GACCUAGUCGGCUAGAUAGAUAGAUAGAUAGAUAGAUAGAUAGAUAGAUAGAUAGAUAGAUAGAUAGAUAGAUAGAUGCUGUCAAAGUAGCAAAUGUUCGCCAAGAAAUGCUUCGCAUUUAAUAAACGUUCCUUGCCAUGGCCUUCGGUAGCUGGUAUUCACGUAAUAAAAACGAGCGUGACCACACCAAUUACCUAGUUUCGCUCGUCCUUUACUGAGAUAAAGGACAAGCGAGGCUAAUUGGGCAUGGUUACAGAUGUAAUCACAUGUCGCUGCUUGACGCAAGCCGCCUCUAGGUCUGAAGGACGUGCAUAAGCGGCAAGACAGAAAGCGCGAAAAUAAACGGCAACGCCGGUAACAACUUGGUUGCCUUGGCCGCGCCGGACGUUACGAAAGCGAAACCAACAGCGCGGAGUAGUUCUUCAGAGUGUCGUUAGGCGCGCCCGUGUGCUGCUUUCGCCGGUUGUUUGCUUUGACGUUCAACAGGUGGCGUGAGCAGCGCGCGAAGGCAGAGCGGGCCGCUUGAACAGCUUGAACGUCUGCGCUUUGGCGGCUUCGGCGAAGUCGCGCCGCCGCGCGCUCUGUACAACAUUCGAGCAGCGGGCUCGUCGCGGGCAGUCGUGUCGGCGUCUUUGGUCGCGGCGGCACAGCGUUCGAUCAGCUGGCCCGUCUGCGUACCGUGCCCGCCGUUUGUUUUGGUCGUGCGUUUACUUUUUUGCGCGAGACCACGUUAAAAACAAACCCCACGGCUGCGCCGGUUUCUGCGUCAUCGCCUCACCGAAAUUGUGGGAGUCAUCGUGGUUGUUGCCGUGUCGACGCGCACUCUCGCGCGACCACCGUGAGCAACAGCUGUCUCUCACGUGCGGACUGGAUUGUUGUCCGCUGCUUUCGAGCAGCGACUGCAAGGAGCAGCUGCCGCCGUCGUCUCAGCCUGCCUUGUGUUUCGAUCCCGUUAUGUCUGUGGAUCCCGGGGGCAAGCCGCACCUCGAUAUUGACGUAUGGCUCCAGAACCUGGACUUGCCGCAAUACUCGCUACUAUUCUGCAAGUACACCGGCGUUGAGG